UACGAAGGGUGCAAGCGUUACUCGGAAUUACUGGGCGUAAAGCGCACGUAGGCGGCUUUGUAAGUUAGAGGUGAAAGCCCGGAGCUCAACUCCGGAACUGCCUUUAAGACUGCAUCGCUUGAAUCCAGGAGAGGUGAGUGGAAUUCCGAGUGUAGAGGUGAAAUUCGUAGAUAUUCGGAAGAACACCAGUGGCGAAGGCGGCUCACUGGACUGGUAUUGACGCUGAGGUGCGAAAGCGUGGGGAGCAAACAGG
rnacentral:rRNA from 1 species